rnacentral:rRNA from 1 species
GAACUUUCCAGAGAUGGAUUGGUGCCUUCGGGAACUGUGAGACAGGUGCUGCAUGGCUGUCGUCAGCUCGUGUUGUGAAAUGUUGGGUUAAGUCCCGCAACGAGCGCAACCCUUAUCCUUUGUUGCCAGCGGUCCGGCCGGGAACUCAAAGGAGACUGCCAGUGAUAAACUGGAGGAAGGUGGGGAUGACGUCAAGUCAUCAUGGCCCUUACGACCAGGGCUACACACGUGCUACAAUGGCGCAUACAAAGAGAAGCGACCUCGCGAGAGCAAGCGGACCUCAUAAAGUGCGUCGUAGUCCGGAUUGGAGUCUGCAACUCGACUCCAUGAAGUCGGAA